rnacentral:rRNA from 1 species
AUUGAACGCUAGCGGCAUGCUUUACACAUGCAAGUCGAACGAGUGGCGGACGGGUGAGUAAUGUAUCGGAACGUGCCCAGUAGCGGGGGAUAACUACUCGAAACAGAGGCUAAUACCGCAUACCAUUGAAGCGGCCGAUAUCGGAUUAGCUAGUUGGUGGGGUAAAGGCUCACCCAGGCGACGAUCAGUAGCUGGUGUGCGAGGACGACCAGCCACACUGGAACUGAGACACGGCCCAGACUCCUACGGGAGGCAGCAGUGGGGAAUAUGGGACAAUGGGGGAAACCCUGAUCCAGCCAUCCCGCGUGUAUGAGAAGGCCUUCGGGUUGUAAAGUACUUUUUGCGGGGAGGCGGUAUCUGCAGAAUAAGCACCGGCUAACUACGUGCCAGCAGCCGCGGUAAUAC